CAUGCCGAGGGGCGCUGCGAGGAGGGUGUUCUCCCCAGGCUUGGCGUGCCGCCUGCCGUCCGGCGGGCGAGGCAACGGCGCUCACCUGAC
rnacentral:ncRNA from 1 species